UAGGGAAUCUUCGGCAAUGGACGAAAGUCUGACCGAGCAACGCCGCGUGAGUGAAGAAGGUUUUCGGAUCGUAAAACUCUGUUGUUAGAGAAGAACAAGGACGUUAGUAACUGUACGUCCCCUGACGGUAUCUAACCAGAAAGCCACGGCUAACUACGUGCCAGCAGCCGCGGUAAUACGUAGGUGGCAAGCGUUGUCCGGUUUUAUUGGGCGUAAAGCGAGCGCAGGCGUUUUCUUAAGUCUGAUGUGAAAGCACCCGGCGCAAACGGGGAGGGUAAUUGGAAACUGGGAGAAGUGAGUGCAGAAGAGGAGAGUGGAAUUCCAUGUGUAGCGGUGAAAUGCGUAGAUAUAUGGAGGAAAAACAGUGGCGAAGGCGGCUCUAUGGUCUGUAACUGACGCUGAGGCGAGAAAGCGUGGGGAGCAAACAGG
rnacentral:rRNA from 1 species